UACAUAUAUGUACAUAAAUAUAAUUUUCAACGAAUAAUAUAUAUAGAGAGAGAGAGAGAGUGUUACAAGGAAGUGAUCUAAAACUUCGUAAAUUUGUAGUACAUGUUUAAUGAGAGAAGUAGAAAGUGUAGUCUGAUAAGUGUAGAUCCUAAAAUUAAUCCCGUUUAUUUGAUAUGCCGUACCUUUUAUUUAACAUUUAAAUCGAACGUUUAAAUCGAACCUUCGAUAGAAUAGAUGGAAGAAACGUGUCCAAUAAAAUCUCCUCCAUCAUGUGAUUUGAUUUCAUUGAAUUUUUCUUUUAUGA